UACGUAGGUGGCAAGCGUUGUCCGGAUUUACUGGGCGUAAAGGGCGCGUAGGCGGCCACCGCAAGUCGACUGUGAAAUCUCCGGGCUUAACCCGGAAAGGUCAGCCGAUACUGCGGGGCUAGAGUGCAGAAGGGGCAACUGGAAUUCUCGGUGUAGCGGUGAAAUGCGUAGAUAUCGAGAGGAACACCUGCGGCGAAGGCGGGUUGCUGGGCUGACACUGACGCUGAUGCGCGAAAGCUAGGGGAGCAAACAGG
rnacentral:rRNA from 1 species